CAGCCGCCACGGGAAUACGUAGGUGGCAAGCGUUGUCCGGAAUUAUUGGGCGUAAAUGGCUCGCAGGCGGUUUCUUAAGUCUGAUGUGAAAGCCCCCGGCUCAACCGGGGAGGGUCAUUGGAAACUGGGAAACUUGAGUGCAGAAGAGGAGAGUGGAAUUCCACGUGUAGCGGUGAGAUGCGUAGAGAUGUGGAGGAACACCAGUGGCGAAGGCGACUCUCUGGUCUGUAACUGACGCUGAGGAGCGAAAGCGUGUGGAGCGAACAGGAUUAGAUACCCGAGUAGUCCCUGUCUCUUAUAC
rnacentral:rRNA from 1 species